rnacentral:rRNA from 1 species
AUUGAACGCUGGCGGCAUGCCUUACACAUGCAAGUCGAACGGCAGCACGGGAGCUUGCUCCUGGUGGCGAGUGGCGAACGGGUGAGUAAUAUAUCGGAACAUGCCCUGAAGUGGGGGAUAACGUAGCGAAAGUUACGCUAAUACCGCAUAUUCUGUGAGCAGGAAAGCAGGGGAUCGCAAGACCUUGCGCUUUAGGAGUGGCCGAUAUCGGAUUAGCUAGUUGGUGAGGUAACGGCUCACCAAGGCGACGAUCCGUAGCGGGUCUGAGAGGAUGAUCCGCCACACUGGAACUGAGACACGGUCCAGACUCCUACGGGAGGCAGCAGUGGGGAAUUUUGGACAAUGGGCGCAAGCCUGAUCCAGCCAUGCCGCGUGAGUGAAGAAGGCCUUCGGGUUGUAAAGCUCUUUCGGUGGGGAAGAAAUUGCUUG